rnacentral:rRNA from 1 species
UACAGAGGGUGCGAGCGUUAAUCGGAAUUACUGGGCGUAAAGCGUGCGUAGACGGCUAUCUAAGUCGGGUGUGAAAGCCCCGGGCUCAACCUGGGAAUUGCAUUCGAGACUGAAUAGCUAGGGUACGGUAGAGGGAAGCGGAAUUUCCGGUGUAGCGGUGAAAUGCGUAGAUAUCGGAAGGAACAUCAGUGGCGAAAGCGGCUUCCUGGACCAGUACUGACACUGAACAACGAAAGCGUGGGGAGCAAACAGG